rnacentral:rRNA from 1 species
GACGAACGCUGGCGGCGUGCUUAACACAUGCAAGUCGAACGGAAAGGCCCUGCUUUUGUGGGGUUCUCGAGUGGCGAACGGGUGAGUAACACGUGAGUAACCUGCCCUUGACUUUGGGAUAACUUCAGGAAACUGGGGCUAAUACCGGAUAGGAGCUCCUGCUGCAUGGUGGGGGUUGGAAAGUUUCGGCGGUUGGGGAUGGACUCGCGGCUUAUCAGCUUGUUGGUGGGGUAGUGGCUUACCAAGGCUUUGACGGGUAGCCGGCCUGAGAGGGUGACCGGCCACAUUGGGACAGAGAUACGGCCAAGACGCAUACGGGAGGCAGCAGUGGGGAAUAUUGCACAAUGGGCGGAAGCCUGAUGCAGCAACGCCGCGUGCGGGAUGACGGCCUUCGGGUAGGAAACCGCUUUCGCCUGUGACGAAGCGUGAGUGACGGUAAUGGGUAAAGAAGCACCGGCAAACUACGU